rnacentral:rRNA from 1 species
AGAGUUUGAUCCUGGCUCAGAUUGAACGCUGGCGGCAUGCCUUACACAUGCAAGUCGGACGGCAGCACGGGAGCAAUCCUGGUGGCGAGUGGCGAACGGGUGAGUAAUGCAUCGGAACGUGUCCUCUUGUGGGGGAUAACCAGUCGAAAGACUGGCUAAUACCGCAUGAGCUCGUAAGAGGAAAGCGGGGGAUUCGCAAGAACCUCGCGCGAGAGGAGCGGCCGAUGCCCGAUUAGCUAGUUGGUGGGGUAACGGCCUACCAAGGCGACGAUCGGUAGCUGGUCUGAGAGGACGACCAGCCACACUGGGACUGAGACACGGCCCAGACUCCUACGGGAGGCAGCAGUGGGGAAUUUUGGACAAUGGGGGCAACCCUGAUCCAGCCAUGCCGCGUGUGUGAAGAAGGCCUUCGGGUUGUAAAGCACUUUCGGACGGAACGAAAUCGCGCGGGUGAAUAUCCCGCGUGGAUGACGGUACCGUAAGAAGAAGCACCGGCUAACUACGUGCCAGCAGCCGCGGUAAUUC